GAUGAACGCUGACAGAAUGCUUAACACAUGCAAGUCAACUUGAACUUCGGUUUGGGUGACGGACGGGUGAGUAACGCGUAAAGAACUUGCCUCACAGUUAGGGACGACAUUUGGAAACGAAUGCUAAUACCUGAUAUUAUGAUUUUAGGGCAUCCUAGAAUUAUGAAAGCUAUAUGCGCUGUGAGAGAGCUUUGCGUCCCAUUAGCUAGUUGGAGAGGUAACGGCUCACCAAGGCGAUGAUGGGUAGCCGGCCUGAGAGGGUGAACGGCCACAAGGGGACUGAGACACGGCCCUUACUCCUACGGGAGGCAGCAGUGGGGAAUAUUGGACAAUGGACCAAGAGUCUGAUCCAGCAAUUCUGUGUGCACGAUGAAGUUUUUCGGAAUGUAAAGUGCUUUCAGUUGGGAAGAAAAAAAUGACGGUACCAACAGAAGAAGUGACGGCUAAAUACGUG
rnacentral:rRNA from 1 species